GACGAACGCUGGCGGCGUGCCUAAUACAUGCAAGUCGAACGCUGAAGCGAGGAGCUUACUCUUCUUGGAUGAGUUGCGAACGGGUGAGUAACGCGUAGGUAACCUGCCUUGUAGCGGGGGAUAACUAUUGGAAACGAUAGCUAAUACCGCAUAACAAUGGAUGACACAUGCCAUUUAUUUGAAAGGGGCGUUUGCUCCACUACAAGAUGGACCUGCGUUGUUUUAGCUAGUAGGUGAGGUAAUGGCUCACCUAGGCGGCGAUAGAUAGCCGGCCUGAGUGGGAGGGUGGCCAGACUCGGACGGAGAGAGGGCCCAGGCAGCCACGGGAGGCAGCAAGAGGGAAUGUUCAGCGAUGGGGGCAAGCAUGACUGAGCAACGCCGGGUGAGUGAAGGAGGUUGUCGGUUCGGAAAGGUAUGUUGUAAGUCAAGGACGGGUGUGAGAGUGGAAUGUGCACGCUGUGACGGUAGCUUACCAAAAAGCGACGGCUAACUACGUG
rnacentral:rRNA from 1 species